GACGAACGCUGGCGGCGUGCUUAACACGUGCAAGUCGAACGGAAAGGCCUCUUUCGGGGGGUACUCGAGUGGCGAACGGGUGAGUAACACGUGAGUAACCUGCCCCUGACUUUGGGAUAACUUCAGGAAACUGGGGCUAAUACCGGAUAGGAGCUCCUGCUGCAUGGUGGGGGUUGGAAAGUUUCGGCGGUUGGGGAUGGACUCGCGGCUUAUCAGCUUGUUGGUGGGGUAGUGGCUUACCAAGGCUUUGACGGGUAGCCGGCCUGAGAGGGUGACCGGCCACAUUGGGACUGAGAUACGGCCCAGACUCCUACGGGAGGCAGCAGUGGGGAAUAUUGCACAAUGGGUGGAAGCCUGAUGCAGCAACGCCGUGUGCGGGAUGACGGCCUUCGGGUUGUAAACCGCUUUCGCUCAUGACGAAGCUUUGUGUGACGGUAGUGGGUAAAGAAGCACCGGCUAACUACGUG
rnacentral:rRNA from 1 species